ensembl:lncRNA
CCGCUGUGGAACUUUUGAGUCGUUCCUUCUAGUGCCUUCAGGAGAACACCCUUCCUGAGCUCGAGCAGCAGUGUUUGUGCAAGAGAGAGAAAACAUCUUUCUGACACAGAGAGGCUAACUCCACCGGUUUCUUCUUGCUGCAGCCCUUCUCCAUAAAGGCAAAUAAGGUUAAUCAGCGUUCAGCGUCCUCCGGCCAAAGCCGGAGGUGUGAAUUCCAGCGCUGAGAUCAGUCGAACACCUCAGCGAGCAAGCCACUGAAUGACUGUUUGAGCUCAGGCGCCACAAACAUAAACUUAACAGCUCCCAGUGUGCCGGCCUUGCUGCAGGAUCACUCCUCACCUCCCGGGACUUGUGAAGUGCAGGCGGAGAAGGCAGCUCCCGAGGAGGCGGCGGGGAGGCAGGCUCCGGAGGGGGCUGGGGAGGCAAUGCUCUGUGACCGAGCUUUCCGUAUGGUAUUGUAUCUGCUGUCGUUAGCCAGGGAAAAGGGUGCAAAACUAAUCGAUGCCUUUCCCCGAGGCUCCUGUCUGUGCCGGAAGUUGGGGCAAGGUCCGUGCGCCGCUCUUCGCAGCAAUCGAGCCGGGAAAGGAGGCUUUUGCUUCGAGCUGCUGUUUCACAGUACUGAUUUUUCUUUCUUGCGGCUCACCACACUAAAAGCUCAGGAGGGAAAGCGGAGGAGGUGGGGGUGCCGCGCAGCAUCACCGCACCCGGCCUGAUCUCAGUAACGGGACAGCCUUUCCACUGGUUUACCUGCGGCUCCGGAUUGCUCCGGCGGCGUGGGGGGACGAGAUGUGGGGAGAAGGAAGGAGAAAGGUUACGAAACAGGAUUUUUGUUGAAGAGUGUGGCCAUUUUUUAAAAUUGUAUUUGUUUGUUUGUUUGUUUUACUCCUGUUAUACAAAAUAGGACAAGGUAUGUUUGUGGGAGAGAGAGAGGGUGAAGAAGUUUUCAAGAAAUAAGUGACACGGAGCAAAGCAGAGCUCUACUCCUAUCUUAGGGCGGCAAUGGGAAGAGGAAAAUAGGGUGUUACUGUGGCUUUUCUUUGGGAGGGUUGUUCGGGUCGGUAGAUCUCCAACGCUAAUCCAAACAACCCGUUUGACUUGUGAGGUCCGGAGUCUAGACAGAGCUGGUGGCUCGGCGGCUCCUUAUCUGGUUUUGGAAUCAGCCGAAAGAGACUUUUCUUAAUGUCCACAGCAGCACUGGGAUCUGCGGGGGCCGGGUAGCCACCGCACCUCGCAGACAGGACAACAAAUACACCCACCACCUGGAGGCUUUAUAGCCCGCUUUGUUGUUCCCGAUCUCUGUCUCGCCCCUGCCCUCGGCCGCCGGGCCGGGGUAACCCACGUCCCGCGGUUUGCUUAAUACAACAUAGACCUGCUGCUCGCCCUGUAUCCCCCCGGGCACUCAAAGGCUACCUCCACAGCAGUAUGGGACAGUGGGCACUCGAUUUCUGAUGGGUUAUUUUAUAAUCCUGAUGUGCUGUUAUUUAAUUCCUUUAUCUUUCCCUUUCUUUUGCUCUUUCUUUCUUUUACUCUGUCUUUCUGUCCUCUCUUUCUCUCUCUCUCCCUUCCUUCCUUCUCUCUUCUUUCUUCUUUCCUUCCCUCUCUUUUUCCCACCUUCCUUCCUUUCUUUCCUUUUUUUUUUCCCUUUCCCCUUGUGUAUGACACUAUUAUUAUUAUUAUUAUUAUUAUUAUUAUUAUUAUUAUUAUUAUUAUUAUUAUUUUUCCAAUUGGAGUUUUGCAGACAAUGGAAAACAAACAAACAACAAACAAACAAACUGACAGCUAUUCAAAAUCACCAGAGAUCACCAACACUGGAGACUGAUUGAAGCAAGUCAAUCAAGAGAGAGGAAGUCUGUUUAGAUAUAAGACCUUCGUUGGAGGGGCAAACUUUAAAGGUUACAGAGAGACUUUUGUGAAGUUUUGCUGCGAACGUCUCAUGAAGCGGGAAUGCAUAUCACUGAAGGGUUCAGCCCAAUGUUCUCUGAUGUUAGUGGCAAAGAUCCCUUGACAUGUGAGUAUAAAAUCAGUGGUUUUCAGUACCUACUAUUUUGUAGGUACCCAAUGUGGAUUUAUCAGUUUAGUAAUUUCCAUUGCUUUAUUAAUAUUUGACCUUAAAUGGCUGCAUAAUUUUCUUUUAUAGUACUAAAAAAGUCCAACAAUAAUACUCACAAACUUUCAGUGCAUCACUGAAAGCAUUUUGCUUGGUAGAGUAAUUAGAAAUAUAAGUCAAUAGCAUAUCUGUAUGUACAGAAUAUUUUAAAAUAAAACCACUGCCCAACUCACUUACAGUCUCUAAAGAGAAAUUUCAUGUCUCAUAAUUUUUAGGGCAGGAGACAAUAUACAAAUUACUUGCACAAUACUUUACAGAAGAGCAAUCCUAGAAAAAAACUGAACAGAAUUAGCCUCACACCAUUUUGCAGUCCUAAUUUACAUGCAUUUUGUCUUCAUGAUAUGAAACAUGGGGAAAUUUUACAGGAUUUGUCCCCAUUAGCAUGGCUGGAAUUUAGAACUGAAUGACCUCAGGUUCCACACUCGGCUCAGUCAGUGGUUUUUCAGGUGUGCUAAAGAUGCAGGAUUUUGUUUAGUGAAAAUGAAUUUGUAGUAAAUCAAUAUAUUCACUUUAUUCAAAAUUUUUUUUUUUUUUUUAAUAAAUUCCCUAUGGUCUUUAAGAGGGUCACAUGUUCUCAAUUUAAUUGUGUUCAUCUCUUUUCAAAGUCAGUUAUUUCUGCCUAUUAUGUAGAAGCAAAACCAAGACCAUUUGGAUUAUUGAAAUGAUGAACCUCAUACCAUAUUUCUUUCUGGUAACAAUAUUAUUAUGAGGUACUUCAGAGGAGAAGGAUUGGAUUGGUCAUUAAAGUAGUCCUGGAAGCAAAAUGCCACCAUUUGGGAUGUCAGUUCUACAGUUCAUAGGCUAUUCAAAACAAACUGUGUAAAGGAAAUAUAUUUGCAGUUUUAAUUUAACUUAUUAAAUUAUCAUUACAAGAAAAAAAAAUCACUGAGAAUUAAGAAAGGCAGAUAGUACUUCGUACAUCAAAAUGACUGCUAAGAUUGUGUUUCUAAGUUUCUUUGUGAAUAUUUUGUUUAUAAAAAUACAUUAGUUUCUGAAAUUCAUGGACACAUUUGGGUGUGCCUACAAUUGUUCCGUGAUUGUGCAGUGCCUAAUACAAAGGGUCAGGCUUCUCUCAGGUUCUUAGAGCUCUGCUGUAACCAACCUGGUCAAUAAAAGGAAGUAAAAGGCCAUGGUAAUAUAUAACCACACUCUAAUAACUGGCCAUAUAAAGCCUCGUGUCUUUUAUAUGCUUAAUUCCAACAACAACUACAAAAAAUCUAAUUUUUUUAGUUCACUUAUUCCUGUUUCUAUGGCAAAAAUGUUGUUAACUCUCACAGGAGAGUUUGGUCUCUUCAUGCAGUAAGUGCCUCAAAGAAGUGGGAAUUAAGAAUGAAAUUGCAUGACAAGCAGCAGCAUUACAAUUAGCAGUACAAGUUUUAUGCUGCAAGCAUCAAGUCUGGAAGGAAAAAACACUGAAAGAUGAAAGUCCUGUAAUGCAGGAUCAAAAGUUUGGCUGACUUUUACAGUUAGGAAAACAACAUGUUAAUUCUUUAGAGUUUUAGCUUCCUUCAACUAUUUAGUAAGAGAAAUUUACAUAUUUCUGAAAAUAUUUUUAUUUUUGGUAUAUAUUGCUGGACCAAAUACAGUAGCUGUGGAUUAAAAAAAAAAAAAAAAAAAAAAAAAGGCAAAAAAAAAAUUUGUCCAGUUAACAAUCAGUUAAAAACUACAAGCUAUUUCAUCCAAUUCUUAAUCAUAUUUUUCAGUCAGGUGGUGAUAAAUUGAGUUGUCCUGCAGAUCAUGCUUUUGUUUUGUUUUGUUUUUUUCUUUUUUUAAUGCUUUUUUAUACUGUAAGGAAUAAUCUACAUCUUUUGGUAAAGUUAGUGGAGUCAGGUGGAGGUACAUGCUUUCACACUUUUCUGAAUGUGGGGCCUAAAAGGAACAAAUAAUUAGUGUUCCCAUGCAAAAUUUAGGUCAGCGAAUCUCCCAGGGGCAGUGGCAUGGUAAAUGUAAUUGUGAGGGCAAUGUGCAAGAGUGAAAGGAAGGAUGGAGGAGGAUUAUCUACCUUUGACAUGACACAGAGCCUGUGACACCCUGAUAACUCUCUCUCAAGCUGCAGCCAUGGCUUCAUUGCCCAGCCCAGUCUUGUGCUUUUUCAGCUCACUGCUUGAAAGGGGCAGCAACGUUUCUGCUGAGGAAGGGUGGAUUGCUUUGCCCUGGGCUCAGCUGAAAUGGUUAAACGAGUACUACACUCCUAGCAGAAAUCUUGAAAAGAAUUGUAGAAUAGUUCCUUAAGCAUGGAGCUGCUUCAUUCUCACAUCUGUACAGGAAGAGGCACUGAC